rnacentral:lncRNA from 1 species
UGGUAUUUCGGAUGUUCAAUGGUAUUCCCCAUCGACCUACUACUUUCACCAACAACUACAUUAUGAAAUACACCAUCAGUACCAUCAAUCUCUCCAUGACUAGUCCACACAAAAUAAUUAUCUAUAAACCCUUUUUGAUAAAGAUGAAUCUUAACAUCUGCCGGUUCAAAAUAAUGCAAACACUUGCACUUUACACAAGGACACCUAAUCAACCG